UACGUAGGGGGCAAGCGUUGUCCGGAAUCAUUGGGCGUAAAGCGCGCGUAGGUGGCUUCGUAAGUCCGCUGUGAAAGUCAAAGGCUCAACCUUUGAAAGCCGGUGGACACUGCGGGGCUAGAGUACGGAAGAGGCGAGUGGAAUUCCUGGUGUAGCGGUGGAAUGCGCAGAUAUCAGGAGGAACACCAAUAGCGAAGGCAGCUCGCUGGGACGUUACUGACACUGAGGCGCGAAAGCGUGGGGAGCGAACAGG
rnacentral:rRNA from 1 species